rnacentral:ncRNA from 1 species
AAGGCCUGAUGUGUGUGAGAUUACCCGCUGAAUUUAAGCAUAUAAGUAAGCGGAGGAAAAGAAACUAACUAGGAUUCCCUUAGUAAUGGCGAAUGAACAGGGAUCAGCUCAGUGCCAAAUCGGAAUCACUUGUGGUUCUGAAAUGUGGCUUGAAGGCAGUACCAGUGGCAUCGCGGACGAAAGUCUCUUGGAAAAGAGCGUCAUAGAGGGUGAGAAUCCCGUGAGUCGUUCGCCGUUUGUCACGUACGGUCUGCGUUCUAACGAGUCGCGUUCCUUGGGAUUGGAGCGUAAACGGGUGGUAAAUUUCAUCCAAAGCAAAAUAUAUACUCGAGACCGAUAGCACAAAAGUACCGUGAGGGAAAGGUGAAAAGAACUUUGAGAAGAGGGUUAAAUAGUGCCUGAAAUCGUUGAGAAGGAAGCGGAUGCCGCCGUUGCAUAUGCUGAUUGUAGGAUUGCUGCUCGCUCCUGUCUUCUGCUACUCAUUCACAGACCUGGUCGUGUUGAGCAGUUGUUUGGCAGAUGUUAGUGGUGUUUCCUACUUCAGUCGUCAGCAUCACUGGCUGAGUGGAAAUAAUCCAUGGAUGCUAAUUGGUUC